rnacentral:rRNA from 1 species
GACGAACGCUGGCGGCGUGCUUAACACAUGCAAGUCGAACGGUAAGGCCCUUCGGGGUACACGAGUGGCGAACGGGUGAGUAACACGUGGGUGAUCUGCCCUGCACUUCGGGAUAAGCCUGGGAAACUGGGUCUAAUACCGGAUAGGACCACUGCCUGCAUGGGUGGUGGUGGAAAGCUUUUGCGGUGUGGGAUGGGCCCGCGGCCUAUCAGCUUGUUGGUGGGGUGAUGGCCUACCAAGGCGACGACGGGUAGCCGGCCUGAGAGGGUGACCGGCCACGCUGGGACUGAGAUACGGCCCAGACUCCUACGGGAGGCAGCAGUGGGGAAUAUUGCAAGAUGGGCGCAAGCCUGAUGCAGCGACGCCGCGUGAGGGAUGACGGCCUUCGGGUUGUAAACCUCUUUCAGCACCGACGAAGCGCAAGUGACGGUAGGUGCAGAAGAAGGACCGGCCAACUACGUGCCAGCCGCCGCAGUAA